GACGAACGCUGGCGGCGUGCUUAACACAUGCAAGUCGAACGGAAAGGCCCUGCUUUUGUGGGGUGCUCGAGUGGCGAACGGGUGAGUAACACGUGAGUAACCUGCCCUUGACUUUGGGAUAACUUCAGGAAACUGGGGCUAAUACCGGAUAGGAGCUCCUGCUGCAUGGUGGGGGUUGGAAAGUUUCGGCGGUUGGGGACGGACUCGCGGCUUAUCAGCUUGUUGGUGGGGUAGUGGCUUACCAAGGCUUUGACGGGUAGCCGGCCUGAGAGGGUGACCGGCCACAUUGGGACUGAGAUACGGCCCAGACUCCUACGGGAGGCAGCAGUGGGGAAUAUUGCACAAUGGGUGGAAGCCUGAUGCAGCAACGCCGUGUGCGGGAUGACGGCCUUCGGGUUGUAAACCGCUUUCGCUCAUGACGAAGCUUUGUGUGACGGUAGUGGGUAAAGAAGCACCGGCUAACUACGUG
rnacentral:rRNA from 1 species